CUGCGACAAGGUCGAUAGAAACGAGGAUCUUUCGUUAAGGUGACGCGAUUCGCUCGAUUAGAAAAAGCUGCAGCUGGUUAAUAUUUCGUUUUUGCUGGGACCACUGAACCGUGGAUGGGAAUGAAUUGAGGUGUUCUUUGAGUCGCAUUGGUUGACAUUUUUAAUGUCAACGAUAUCCAUAGAGACGCUGUGUCUCAUAAAGGUACUAUCCUCCCAACUGCAACUACCCCUGUCUGACUCUGAUUGGUUCUCCUAACUUUGGAGAACGUUCCGUUAAAAGGGACUUGGAAACCCAACUAGCAAUUAUAACAGAAAACAAGAAACUUCAAACGGAAUUGCAUGAGGAGUGUGUGGAUCUGUACAAGUUCGGCUUGCCAAUGGAGAAGAAAAGGAGAGGCCCUAAAUGGGUGCACGGUUUUGUAUACUUUUUCCGUAGUUAUUUUUAAAACAAUCAAACUGUUACAACAAUUUAUGAGUGAAUUUUUUGGUUUUACAUCUCGUACGACUGAAUUUUUUGGAAAUAUUGUCCUCCUUAUGGUCCCACUAUAUCCAUCUGAGCUUGUUUCUACCAGCUCCUAUGGAAUUUCUAUAUUAAUAAUUCUGUAAUAAGAGGUCCUUAAUGUUGGACAUAAUUGUGAUAUUUCUAGUGAUGCUCUCAAUUGUUUGUUAGUCAUAAUUUCUUUGCAUUUAAUUGUUGAAAUGUCUUGUUAUUUUUGAAAAUAUUUCAGUAUUAUUAUUAGGCAUUUGAAUAUUUUGAAUAUUGAACUGCCUUUUCUUCAUCUGAUUCCGAACUGGUCCAGAUACUUGCUCAAUAAACUUAUUAACAUAAUAAUAAAAUGAUUUUCCAUCGUAUUGACCCUUUACUUGACCGAGAGAUGGCGUCGUGGGCUUGGUAUAUAAACCGAACCGAGAUGAUGAAGGCAGAGACCAUUGUUUUUAAUGAACUAAACUAAAACAAAAGCAUUUUUUGUGAUUAUUAAAACACAAGUAAUGAUUAUAUAUAAUGGAAAAUCUGUAUUUUUGACAGUUUGUUGAUUUUCAUUAAUUAUGUAGCAUAUUCCAACAUUAAUCUCAAUCAAUUCGUGUGAUUUCAGUUGAAACGGGAUCGUCAAAACCUCCAUGAAUAUCUUGUGUGAACGGCCCUCAAGGAAAGCUGUUGGUUGUGACUAUCGGGGUCUUCUGAUUUCAAGCCAGAUGGUAUUACCUGAAAAUCUACAGCACCCAUGUUUGUCCUGCUGUUGGAAUUUAAUUUAUUCAGUAUAUUCACUAAAUUUAACUAAAAUGUUUCUUAAAAUGAACCUGAGCAAUAUCUUUGGAAUCAAAAUUCUCUUUUUUUAUAUGUCUGAAUGUUUUUUGUAAAUAAAAUAAUGUUCCCUAUUUUUUCAUCAAUAAAAUAAUAAAUUCAUA